rnacentral:snRNA from 1 species
CGGUUCACCAUCGGUGGUACCG